rnacentral:rRNA from 1 species
AUUAGGAAUCUUGCACAAUGGGGGCAACCCUGAUGCAGCGACACAGUGUGGAGGAUGAAGGUCUUCGGAUUGUAAACUCCUUUUAUAUGGGACGAAUAAAUGACGGUACCAUAUGAAUAAGCACCUGCUAACUACGUGCCAGAAGCAUCGGUGAUGCGUAGGGUGCAAACGUUAUCCGGAUUUAUUGGGCGUAUAGAGAAGCGUAGGUGUUCCUGUAAGUCUUUAGUUAAAUACCACGGCUCAACCGUGGAAAAGCUUUGGAAACUACAGGAAUUGAGACAGGAAGAGGUGAAUGGAAUUCCCAGUGGAGCGGUGAAAUGCGUUGAUAUUGGGAGGAACAUCAGUGGCGAAGGCGAUUCACUGGUCCUUGUCUGACACUAAGGCUCGAAAGCGUGGGUAGCAAAACGGAUUAGAUACCCUAGUAGUCC